CACGCUGAACUUAAGCAUAUCAAUGAGCGGAGGAAAAGAAACUAUACACGGAUUCCCCUAGUAGCUGCGAGUGAAGCGGGAAGAGCUCAAAUUUAAAAUCUGGCGGUCUCGCGGCCGUCCGAGUUGUAAUCUCGUGAGAAGCGUUUUCCGCGUCGGACCGUGUACAAGUCUUCUGGAACGGAGCGUCGUAGAGGGUGAGAAUCCCGUCUCUGACACGAGACAGCCGAUGCUUCAUGUGAUACGCUCUCGAAGAGUCGAGUUGUUUGGGAAUGCAGCUCAAAAUGGGUGGUAAAUUCCAUCUAAAGCUAAAUAUUGGCGAGAGACCGAUAGCGAACAAGUACCGUGAGGGAAAGAUGAAAAGCACUUUGGAAAGAGAGUUAAACAGUACGUGAAAUUGUUGAAAGGGAAACGUUUGAAGUCAGUCGCGUCGGCCGAGACUCAACCCCGCCUUUUGGCAGGGCGCAAUUCUCGGUCGACGGGUCAGCAUCAAUUUCGAUCGUCGGAUAAAGGUCGAGGGAACGUGGCAUCCUCCGGGGUGUGUUAUAGCCCUCGGUUCCGCAUGCGACGGUCGGGAUUGAGGAACUCGGCACGCCUUCAUUGGUCGGGGCUUCGGCUCACGUUAACGUGUCUAGGAUGCUGGCGUAAUGGCUUUAAGCGACCCGUCGUGAAACACGG
rnacentral:rRNA from 1 species